GACGAACGCUGGCGGCGUGCUUAACACAUGCAAGUCGUACGGUAAGGCCCUUUCGGGGGUACACGAGUGGCGCACGGGUGCGUAACACGUGAGUAACCUGCCCACAACUUUGGGAUAACGCUAGGAAACUGGUGCUAAUACUGGAUAUGUGCUCCUUCUGCAUGGUGGGGGUUGGAAAGCUCCGGCGGUUGUGGAUGGACUCGCGGCCUAUCAGCUUGUUGGUGGGGUAGUGGCCUACCAAGGCGGCGACGGGUAGCCGGCCUGAGAGGGUGACCGGCCACAUUGGGACUGAGAUACGGCCCAGACUCCUACGGGAGGCAGCAGUGGGGAAUAUUGCACAAUGGGCGCAAGCCUGAUGCAGCAGCGCCGCGUGCGGGAUGACGGCCUUCGGGUUGUAAACCGCUUUCAGCAGGGACGAAGCUUUUUGUGACGGUACCUGCAGAAGAAGCACCGGCUAACUACGUG
rnacentral:rRNA from 1 species